rnacentral:rRNA from 1 species
UGANUGCCGGAGAGGCAAUCGNAANUUCCGUGUGNAGNGGUGAAAUGNGUAGAUAUACGGAGGNACACCAGUGGCGANGGCGGAUUGCUGGACAGUAACUGACGCUGAGGCGCGAAAGCGUGGGGAGCAAACAGGAUUAGAUACCCNUGGUAGUCCACGCCGUAAACGAUGGAUACUAGGUGUGGGGGGUCUGACCCCNUCCGUGCCGCAGUUAACACAAUAAGUAUCCCACCNUGGGGAGUACGAUCGCAAGGUUGAAACUCAAAGGAAUUGACGGGGGCCCGCACAAGCGGUGGAGUAUGUGGUUUAAUUCGAAGCAACGCGAAGAACCUUACCAGGGCUUGACAUCCCACUAACGAAGCAGAGAUGCAUUAGGUGCCCUUCGGGGAAAGUGGAGACAGGUGGUGCAUGGUUGUCGUCAGCUCGUGUCGUGAGAUGUUGGGUUAAGUCCCGCAACGAGCGCAACCCUUAUUGUUAGUUGCUACGCAAGAGCACUCUAGCGAGACUGCCGUUGACAAAACGGAGGAAGGUGGGGACGACGUCAAAUCAUCAUGCCCCUUAUGUCCUGGGCCACACACGUACUACAAUGGUGGUUAACAGAGGGAGGCAAUACCGCGAGGUGGAGCAAAUCCCUAAAAGCCAUCCCAGUUCGGAUUGCAGGCUGAAACCCGCCUGUAUGAAGUUGGAAUCGCUAGUAAUCGCGGAUCAGCAUGCCGCGGUGAAUACGUUCCCGGGCCUUGUACACACCGCCCGUCACACCAUGAGAGUCGGGAACACCCGAAGUCCGUAGCCUAACCGCAAGGAGGGCGCGGCCGAAGGUGGGUUCGAUAAUUGGGGUGAAGUCGUAACAAGGUAGAAUCACUAGUGAAUUCGCGGCCGCCUGCAGGUCGACCAUAUGGGAGAGCUCCNAA